CGAUGAAGCCCUUCGGGGUGUAAACGUCGUCUUUACGGCAGGGAAGAUUAUGACGGUACCUGCAGAAGCAGCUGCGGCUAACUACGUGC
rnacentral:rRNA from 1 species